CUACGGAGGGGGUUAGCGUUGUUCGGAAUUACUGGGCGUAAAGCGCACGUAGGCGGAUUGGAAAGUUGGGGGUGAAAUCCCAGGGCUCAACCCUGGAACUGCCUCCAAAACUAACAGUCUAGAGUUCGAGAGAGGUGAGUGGAAUUCCAAGUGUAGAGGUGAAAUUCGUAGAUAUUUGGAGGAACACCAGUGGCGAAGGCGGCUCACUGGCUCGAUACUGACGCUGAGGUGCGAAAGCGUGGGGAGCAAACAGGAUUAGAUACCCUAGUAGUCC
rnacentral:rRNA from 1 species